GAUCCUGGCUCAGGAUGAACGCUAGCUACAGGCUUAACACAUGCAAGUCGAGGGGCAGCGGGAUUGAAGCUUGCUUCAAUUGCCGGCGACCGGCGCACGGGUGAGUAACGCGUAUCCAACCUUCCGUACACUCAGGGAUAGCCUUUCGAAAGAAAGAUUAAUACCUGAUGGUAUGAUGAGAUCGCAUGGUAUCAUCAUUAAAGAUUUAUCGGUGUACGAUGGGGAUGCGUUCCAUUAGGUAGUAGGCGGGGUAACGGCCCACCUAGCCUACGAUGGAUAGGGGGUUCUGAGAGGAAGGUCCCCCACAUUGGAACUGAGACACGGUCCAAACUCCUACGGGAGGCAGCAGUGAGGAAUAUUGGUCAAUGGACGAGAGUCUGAACCAGCCAAGUAGCGUGAAGGAUGAAGGUCCUACGGAUUGUAAACUUCUUUUAUAAGGGAAUAAAACCUCCCACGUGUGGGAGCUUGUAUGUACCUUAUGAAUAAGCAUCGGCUAACUCCGUG
rnacentral:rRNA from 1 species